rnacentral:tRNA from 1 species
GCAUCAGUGAUUUAGUGGUGAACCCAUCGUUGCCAUCGAUGUGCUCCGUGUUCGAGUCACGGCUGAUGCA